UACGUAGGUGGCGAGCGUUGUCCGGAUUUACUGGGCGUAAAGGGAGCGUAGGCGGACUUUUAAGUGAGAUGUGAAAUACUCGGGCUCAACUUGAGUGCUGCAUUUCAAACUGGAAGUCUAGAGUGCAGGAGAGGAGAAUGGAAUUCCUAGUGUAGCGGUGAAAUGCGUGGAGAUUAGGAAGAACACCAGUGGCGAAGGCGAUUCUCUGGACUGUAACUGACGCUGAGGCUCGAAAGCGUGGGGAGCGAACAGG
rnacentral:rRNA from 1 species